rnacentral:rRNA from 1 species
AACGUAGGUCCCGAGCGUUAUCCGGAUUUACUGGGCGUAAAGCGUGUUCAGGCGGUCUAGCAAGUCGGGCAUGAAAUCUCUCGGCUCAACCGGGAGGGGUUGUCCGAUACUGCUGGGCUUGAGGGCAGCAGAGGGUGGUGGAAUUCCGGGUGUAGUGGUGAAAUGCGUAGAUAUCCGGAGGAACACCAGUGGCGAAGGCGGCCACCUGGGCUGUACCUGACCGCUCAACACCGAAAGCCUAGGGGAA